GCGUUGGUGGUUUAGUGGUAAAAUUCAUCGUUGCCAUAAAACGCGCCGUCGAUGAGCCCCGGGUUCGAUUCCCGGCGUACGUG